GAAACAUAAAUUGUAGAAAUAAGUCCCGAUGUAUCUUUAAAAUUACAAUAAAUGUGCACAGUUUAAAAAAAAGAAAAAGAAAGAAAAAGUUGGUCUACAAGUUUCCUGAAGGUGUCAGAGUAAGAAUGAGUCUCAAGCGAAACGAACACGCAGAAGCAGGGGGAGCUGCAAAUGCCGCUUCUAGAGAGGACUGCCUGUGCUCGCAGGCAUUCUGUUUCCUCUGCUGCAUCAUCUGCGUCCCCCUCCCUCCCUUUCCUCACCUGAGAAGAUGGUUUUCUGUCUUGGACUGCAGGUCCUGCCUCUCUCUUUCUCUGAGAAAAGAAUCUGUGCCGAAGCUUUAAUUUGUUAUCGGUAUGUGAUACUUACAGCUGUGGCACCCAUCUUGAGACGAGGAGGUCAGUCACCCUAAGAAGAUACACCAGCGUGCUGAGGAAGACAUGGUAGAAACAUAGAAGAAUUUAGGUCCUCAGUGAUAUCGUUGAGCUGAUGAAUUCACCAACCUACAACUGUUCUAACCCUGGAUUUCUUUUUAUGUGAGAUAAUAUAUUUCCUUGUUUAAACCAUUUGGAUUUGGCCUUUUAUUAUCUCUGCCUGAAAUGUUCUAACCAAUAAACCUCUUUAUUCUCAUAUUUGCUGAUAGUGGUGUCUUUUCCUUAAUGUAAUACAUGUGUGCAUGUAUGUGUUGAAAGGACAAUGAAGGAAGGAGAAAUGCGUCUCUAUUCUUC